rnacentral:rRNA from 1 species
AUGAACGCUGGCGGCGUGCCUAAUACAUGCAAGUCGAACGAGGUGCUUUUGUAGCAAUACGAGAGUAUCCUAGUGGCGAACGGGUGAGUAACGCGUUGGUGACCUGCCCCAAAGUGUGGGAUAACAGUUCGAAAGGACUGCUAAUACCGCAUGUGGUCAUCGGAUCUAGAAACCGAUGUCUAAAGCAGUAAUGCGCUUUGGGAGGGGCCUGCGUCCCAUCAGCUAGUUGGUGAGGUAACGGCUCACCAAGGCGACGACGGGUAGGGGACCUGAGAGGGUGGCCCCCCACAAUGGAACUGAAACACGGUCCAUACACCUACGGGUGGCAGCAGUAGGGAAUAUUGCACAAUGGGCGAAAGCCUGAUGCAGCAACGCCGCGUGUGCGAUGAAGGCCUUCGGGUCGUAAAGCACUUUUCUGAGAGAUGAGAAAGGACAGUAUCUCAGGAAUAAGUCUCGGCUAACUACGUGCCAGCAGCCGCGGUAACACGUAGGAGGCGAGCGUUAUCCGGAUUCACUGGGCGUAAAGCGCGUGCAGGUGGUUUGGUAAGUUGGGCGUGAAAGCUCCCGGCUCAACUGGGAGAGGUCGUCCAAUACUACCAGACUUGAGAGCAGUAGAGGAAAGUGGAAUUCCCGGUGUAGUGGUGAAAUGCGUAGAUAUCGGGAGGAACACCAGUGGCGAAGGCGACUUUCUGGACUGUUUCUGACACUCAGACGCGAAAGCUAGGGUAGUAAACGGGAUUAGAGACCCCGGUAAUCCUAGCUGUAAACGAUGUGAACUUGGCGUUGGUGGAUUAAACCCCAUCAGUGCCGAAGCUAACGCGAUAAGUUCACCGCC